UGCCGUUCUCAGUGCCGAAUUUGUCUUUUUUCAUUUAAGCAAAUUAUUGGUGCCGAAACGUCUGGACACCCAUUAUUUUACAACCCAUUUCCUAUAUUCCUUCGACAGAGUUUAGAAGAGCAUCACCACGCAUUCAUAAUACGCGAAUUAGGGUAUCAACAUCACACAACACUUGACAACAGGAAUGGAGAAAGAAUUAUCCUCUUCAGUCCACCUAGAAUUGGGAAUGAAGAAAAAUAGAAAUUCUGGACAAGAAACAGAGGUUUCCCAUGGACAUGUUAUUCCCAAUUCCGGAAUUACACGUGCCCCACGAGUGAUACGCGAUGGCAAAGUGGCCGUCAUCUAUCAGCCCAAUCACGGUAUUGGUUGGUACUCAGUACAUAAGAUUGAAGCCCUUCUUUUUGCUCCCGAGAUUGUUUUCAUGAUUGAACAAGAAGAGUCAGGUUCGAAAGUCCACGAGUAUUGCUGCAGCAUGAAGUACGGCAGUGCUGUGAAUCCUGUGUUAGAUAUUAUGUGUCAUGGUCUCAGCAUCAAUUGGGUGCCCGUUUCGGAAGAGUUUCGAAUCCACGAGUAUGACGGAAGUGAACAAAUUGUUUUAAAAUCUACUGAUCAAUGGAUUAUUGCUUAAACCAUGCUCAUUUGAUUGUACAAGAUUAACGUUUGAAUAUAAAUAAUUCAGCAACGUCAUGUGUGCGUUGUAAAUUAGGUUGAUAAAUUUUGUAAUAACAAUUCUAAUUAUCCCCAUCGCCCAUGUCAAAUAACACCCAGCCCGUAGUGGCGUAAUAAAAAAAAAAUUAACAAAAAUUAAACACCAGUGAUGACAUCACUAAUAGCCAAGUGCAAUCGAACGUUUUCACGAUGAGUUUUCACGAUGAAAUACACUUAAAUGUGUUAAGUCUUCUUUAUCGAAAAUAGAUGGCGUAUGAUUAUUGUUUUUUUUAAUAGUUGUCUGCUAAUAGGUAUUUUAAUUUGAACUAAGCCUUAAUGAAAAUUGAAAAAAAAAAGAUUUUUUGUAGAUUUUUAAAAUCACAAAUGUAAUUUUUUUCAAACUUGUGUACGUCAUAUGCUUUUUAAUAACACAGCCACGUCUGAGCUUCAUUGCUGUCAUGCAUGUGGUUUUGUUUCAGCCAGCUCUGGUGAAAGUGAAUUUGGAGCUGCUGCAUGUAGUCUAUGGAGCAGGUGUCGUUCUGAAGUGUGCAAGCAUUACCUAAAGUGCAACAGCAAUUGAAGAAUUCUCGAAAUGGUCACAACUUCACCUCUGAUCUAACUUUUGUCCGUUUUAAAGAAUUUUCUGUUGCUUGGAUUCAAUCUAAAUUUCAACUCAAAAUUUGACUUGGUGGCAAUGGUAUGCAUCAGACUGCUAUGCACAGUCUACCGAUCUGGUGUGUCAUCCUGAAACUUAUAAGCCAGACCUGAAGGUGAAUUGCAAGAAGACUUCUUGAAAUGGUUUUUCAAUAACAGCCAGGUAAAAUCUCUUCUUCAUUGCUGUCUCUAACACAACACAGUAUGGUUUUUUGGUUUCGGCCAGCCGGUGCAAGACUGCAAGAUGUUGUCUAAUCAGGUUCUACUGUUGCAUGGAGUCUGUGAUGCCGCUGGUGAUCUGAAAAAUAUUGUUGCGCUUGUUUCUGAUAAGUGUGUUGUUUGAAGUAGUCUGUGAUGUAGACAAAUGCAUAUUAUCUUCUUUUCUGGGCUCCCUUCUGUUCUGUGAUCCCGUUUCCCUUUCUAUGACUAAUCGCUCCCCAGCAAAACUGAUCUGGCACUGCUCUCUUCUUCCUUGUCCAGGACAUCUCCCUGGGCACAGUCAAUCAAUGCAGUCUCCCCCUGUCUUGAUAGACUGAAUUUUGCAUGGAAAAUUCAACAUUGAUAAUAUUAAGUUAAAGGUAAAAUUGAUAUUUGUGAUAGGGGAUGAUAAACAUGUACAUAAUAGUAUAAACAAGAUUUAAACAGCUGCAUUUUCAUUAUGAAAUCUAUUUAUUACAAAAUUAUUCAUACAUUAUAUUUCCCAACUGAAUAAUUUGUUUCUUUUCUAAUGUUUUUUUUUGUUUUUUAAAUUGAUUUACAUAAUGUACUGUACCAACCAAUUAAAUUAAACAUAAGAAUCGUAAUUUUGUUGGAUGGCAGAGGGCCUGUUGCUUUCUC